CACAAGGUCCUCUACGACUUGGGAAAGCACAGACACCACUGCGUUGUUCCCAAUGCGCGCCAGGGCCAUAGACGCUGCAGAGAGAAUGAAGUCUCCAGCCAGGAUAGCCUUGAGACAACAGAAAAGGUGCUCUGGUGUAAAAUACUUACUUUCCUCUCCCCCCACACUUCAUUGAUGGUGGUUUUUCCUCGUCUUGUAUCUGAACCAUCAAUAACGUCGUCAUGCACCAAGCUGGCAGUGUGGAUCAUCUCUGAGAUCAUGGCAAUGGACCGCUGCGCUGGGAGGAGGUCACUGUCAGGAGAAAAAGGCUCUGGCCAUCAGCACCACGAUCAUCGGCCGGAACGCCUUCCCCUUCCCGUCGAAGUAAUAAUCACACAGGGCUUUCAGCUCCGCUUUGGACACCAGUAGCUGAAAAAAGCCAACUGUUUGAAUCACUUAUGAAGAGG